UGAGAGCUAUUAAGUAAUUGCAGAAUGUGAAUAAUUUACUCAGAUUUUUUAAUAAAUGAAUUUCAUAAAGUAUGUAUUCGUUUAAAGCAGAAAAGAUACUAGAUUAUCAUUACUUGCAGGUCUUGACUGAUCCUAAGUGAUUUCAGUGUGGCGUUGAAAAGAACUCCAAUCAGUUAAAUAUCUUGAUUGAUCCUGUGUGAUUUCAGUGUGACGUUGAAACUCCAAUCCGUUAAAGAACUGCUAUUCCUUCUAAUUGCCUUGGGAAACAUCUAGUAAUCCUGAAUGGGAACGGGAAGCUACGUUCGUGCGUGCGUGGAACAGACAACGCAAGUAAGAAGGG